rnacentral:rRNA from 1 species
UACGUAGGGGGCAAGCGUUGUCCGGAAUCAUUGGGCGUAAAGAGCGCGUAGGCGGCCCUGUAAGUCCGCUGUGAAAGUCGAGGGCUCAACCCUUGAAUGCCGGUGGAUACUGCAGGGCUAGAGUCCGGAAGAGGCGAGUGGAAUUCCUGGUGUAGCGGUGAAAUGCGCAGAUAUCAGGAGGAACACCGAUGGCGAAGGCAGCUCGCUGGGACGGCACUGACGCUGAGGCGCGAAAGCCAGGGGAGCAAACGGG